GGCUUUUUGAUGAUAAUUUAAGGUCUAACCUGCCCAGUGAUGAAGUAUUAAAUGGCCGCAGUAUUUUGACUGUGCAAAGGUAGCAUAAUCAUUAGUUUCUUAAUUAGGAGCUUGCAUGAAGGGUUUGAUGAAAAAAAAGUUGUCUCUGUUUUAGUUUUUUAGAAAUUUAUUUUUAAGUUAAAAAGCUUAAAUUUGUAUUAAAGACGAGAAGACCCUAUAGAGUUUUAUAUUUCAUAUAAUUAUUAUGUUUUAGGAUUAUUUUAGUAGUUUAAUGAGUUAUUUGAUUGGGGUGAUUUAAAAAUUAGCUAAACUUUUUAUGGUGAAUAUCAUUAAUUUAUGAACUUUUGAUCCUUAUUUGAAGAUUAACAGAUAAAAUUACCUUAGGGAUAACAGCGUAAUUUUUUUUAGAGUUCUUAUCGAAAGAAAGGAUUGCGACCUCGAUGUUGGAUUAAAAUUAAUUAUUGGUGUAGAAGCUAAUAUAUUUGGGUCUGUUCGACCUUUAAAUUUUUACAUGAUCUGAGUUUAAACCGGUGUGAG
rnacentral:rRNA from 1 species